CCGGAGAGGCAGGGGAAGGGGGGCGGAAAUGGACUCCAGAGGCUGCAAGUCUGAGGCAAAUUAGCUAUGAUUUGCAAAAUUCCAAGGAAAGGAGAGGAUGCGGUGGAAGCGUUUGGGGUUGAAAUGAUCCUGAUGGAAACCACAGAAAAGCAUAAAAAAAACAGCCAAAAGUGACAUUCUCCAGAGGGCCCAAAGACCAGGAAUCAGAUAGAUGGAGAAAGAAGGUUAUCACCUCUGCUCUCCUGAGGUGGCGGGGGUGAAGCAGCUUGCACUGGGAGAAGAGAGUGCAUUGUUUUCACUGGCGGCUCCCUCAGGCAGCCGCUGUAUUUUUCCACUGCGUGGAUCACGCUGGAGAUUAAUUUUGGUUCAGCCGGUGCCUGCCAAGCAGAAAGUGAUGGCCUGAGCCCACGGGGAAGUCAGCCACGGCAUCUGCCACGGACUUGAAGUUGCUGGUACGUUUCCACGAAAGGAGAUAUUUGUAAUAGUAAAUUUCUAGGGUUUGAUAAAAACACUGGGUACAGUUUGUUUUGAAAGGCGUGAACACACUUGCCAAGGAAAUGAGCUUGCCAGCUCAGGAUAAGUUCUUAGAAUUUAGAACACAUGGAUCUUUCAGGCUCUGAGACUCAAGUGGCAGAUGGCGAACCAGUGGGGAAAGGUCAAGGACACUGAUUGGGUGUCAAGGCCUUAAAUGACCUGGCUGGACCAGGACCACUGUUCAGGGCACUACUGGAGAAGUCAAAUCACUUUUCUACCUCUCUGCGCUACCCAGCCAUCUUGGAAGGGCCACCAAGUCAUAGACCAGAUCCUGAGACACACAUCUGUGAGACCCCUGUCCAGAUGGUUUCACUCACGGGAGAGGGAUUAGCUGGGGCUUCCCAAGAAAUAAAGCAUUGAGAUUAAUAGAAAUGCCAUAAUUUAUUCUGUUGUAUAAAAAAGUCGUCCUUAUGUAACAAAAUGUCUUCUUAAAAGAAGAAAUAUAUUAUUUCAGUUCAUAAAUAAACAUACAACUGCUGACAACUAAAAAAAAAAAAAACAACACUGGUGCUUUCCA